rnacentral:rRNA from 1 species
AUACGGAGGAUCCGAGCGUUAUCCGGAUUUAUUGGGUUUAAAGGGAGCGUAGGUGGAUUGUUAAGUCAGUUGUGAGAGUUUGCGGCUCAACCGUAAAAUUGCAGUUGAAACUGGCAGUCUUGAGUACAGUAGAGGUGGGCGGAAUUCGUGGUGUAGCGGUGAAAUGCUUAGAUAUCACGAAGAACUCCGAUUGCGAAGGCAGCUCACUAGACUGUUACUGACACUGAUGCUCGAAAGUGUGGGUAUCAAACAGGAUUAGAUACCCUGGUAGUCCACACAGUAAACGAUGAAUACUCGCUGUUUGCGAUAUACAGUAAGCGGCCAAGCGAAAGCAUUAAGUAUUCCACCAGGGGAGUACGCCGGCAACGGUGAAACUCAAAGGAAUUGACGGGG